AUUCUUUGUCUAAAAACAAGACAGGUCAUUUUGCUCAUCAAGAAAAUGCAUCUUGAUUCAAGAAUGUUUAGACAUUUGUACCGUACAUUUAGACAUAAAAUACGAAGUAAGAAAGUCAUUUUUUGCAGUGUAGGGAACUCUUGCAGAACUGUAAAUCCUGUGUUUGGUGCGUUAUUUAUUCACGUGCCUUGUCCAGUAGUGCCAUCUAGUGGCUCAAGUCCUAAUGGCAGGUUCUCCUGUUUGAUGUUUUUUUAUAGUAAGUAGCCCUUUAAUAAUGGACAGAAACUCAGCCCAUCCUCUACUAAAUGUUUCUGAUCAUCUGCGAUCAGUGACGAGGCUGCAAAAGCGCUUGUCUGUCCCUGAGCAUCCUGACCGCUUCGACCACUGGUGUCAGGUGAUCUCCUGUCAGAUGUUUUCUUCAGGAACGCACUACUGGGAGCUGGAGGUGGAGGGUUUCUGGGAUAUAGCAGUGACCUACCACAGCAUAGCGAGGAAAGCCAAGGAGGGGACAGCGUUCGGCUGCAACAAGAUAUCCUGGAGUCUCACACAGCAGCAUGACAGGAAACUCGCUGCCUGGCACAACCGAAAGAAAACUCGCCUUUCCACAAUAAUGUCUGGCAAGCACUUGGCAGUUUCCCUGGACUAUGAUUCCGGCUCCAUCACUUUCUCAGAGGUGGGGCCUUCAUCCACCCUCCUCGCCCUGCACAAGUUCAGCACCACCUUCACACAGCCCGUCUGCCUGGGCUUUGGCCUCUACAAACCAGAACUGAACAGCAGGGUCACCAUCCUCAAGAAAAUAUGACUAGACUAGACUUUUCUGUUAUGUUUUUACAGAUUUUCCCCGUAAAAUGUUUUUAUGAUUUUUUAUGUAUUUUUUGAAAUACGGUAAAAAACGUAAAAUUACAAGAAAAACAGGGGGAAAGUAUAAUUUUACAGGGAAAAUCGGUUAUUCUACAGUUUAUUUCUGGCGCCCCAGCUGUGUCCCAACUGCCAGAAAAUGUCAUUUUUUUUAAACAAGAUUUCUUUGUUUUACAGUUUAUUUUUGAAAUACGGACAAAAACUAUAAAAUUAUAGAACAUGACAACACAUUUACAAGAAAAAUGGGGAAAACUGUUUAAUAUAUAUCCUUGCAUCCUAUUAUUUUACAGAAAAAAAAUAUUUACGGUAUAUUUCUGUUUUUCCAGUUAACAGAAAAUUUCCGUUUUUUUUACGGAUUUUUUUUACAGUGUAGGCUACCUAUAUCAUUGCUGUCCUUACGAAACCUCAGAUGUCCAAGUUUGCUGUUUUUCAGGGAAUGAAUAAAACACUACACUUUCUAAAUAAUUAUUACACGGCCGUUGGAAUGCUUGAUUCUGAUUGGCCAGUCGCAACAUUUGCAGGUUCGUUACUGCCAGAUUACAACUGCUCAAAACUGAUAACACACGGUGGUAACCUGGAUGCAGCAAAUCUUUUUGAUAGGUUUUUUUGACAAAUUAAAUAUAAAUAUGUCUUUUAAUAACAUAUAUGACGUUAUAUUUACAAAUGAUUAAAGCGGCCCUAACACACGGGGUUUCUGUCAAUCUCAUAUUAAUCUUGAGUACCUGUACAGUAAUAUUGCAUACUUCGUAUCUUCGAAGAGUAUUUAGUUUGAUCACAUUUAUAAAAGAGAGAUACAGCUGUACGAUUAUUUCCGAAAGCAUACGGCGCGUGUGGGGGGGAGGGGUAGGCUGAACUAAAGCACGUGCGCACCCAUUGCCAACAAAACACAGACAUCAGUUUCACUCACCGCAUGCGGUUCAUGUCCGGCAUCUUUUAGCGCUGGGACGGCUCCAUAUAUCAGUUUCAAACCAUCUCCAAAUCCAGCGUUAUAUCCACCGUUUAUAUAACAUCCAUCACCCAAAUGCAGUGAACAAACAAACACCUGAACUUCACUCUCUCUCUCUCCUGCACACAAGUGAAAGUGAUGUCUGCGCAUGCUCCUUCUUCUGCUCUCCUUGCUGCCGCGUGCUUUUUUGGGAGAAUUGUCCAAUAAGGGACUAAGAAAAAUUGUUACGAAACAGUUUUAUACUACGAAAAAAACUUUCCGAAACGUGUACGAUCGCUGGGAGAGUGUAUCGAGCACAGAAGUACUACGUAAUACGCCCACUCGUUUUUUGACAAGUUGACCAUGUUAAGCAUGAGAAGACAGCACGUUUAACAGUGUAAAGAAGUCAGAAUGCACGACACACCGUUGCACGGCCCCUUUAAACCAAAUUGCCUGUUCUUGACAUUUGAACUUCGUUUCUUACCUUAAAACCGAAAGUCUGCAUUCGGUAAAAAUGAGCUAAUAAAAGAUUUCACAUUUCAUGUCUAUUUUUUAGCCGUGUAAUAAGCGGUAUAAGCCGGCUGUUAUUGUGACACUCUCAGGGCUUAUUUCUGCGAUAACAACCAGCUGCCUGUAUAUUAUCCCUUACUUAAAUACCGUGUUGAUGAGCACUUUUUAAUACUUUUUUCCAUUAGACAUUUGCAAAACCCAGCGAGAAACAUGGCGACUAAUAAUAAUGAUAUAGCAAAAAAAUGUAAUCACAAAAUAUGAAGUGACAAGGUUUCAGAAGGACAGCAGCGAUAUUAUAUUUACACACUUGCAGAUGCUUUUAUCCCAAAUGACUUUUAAGUAUGUGUGUUCUUUUGGAAUCAAUCACAACACCUGUGCAGUGUUAAGUCAACGAGGAACAAAUGAAACAUCAGUAUCCUAUACAACCAUGUAAAACCUUCCUCAAAAAGGAAGGCUCAAGUAUUCGUUUUAUAGUUGCACAUAUGCUACUUUCAUUGUGUUGUGAUGUACGUUUUCAGAAAAUAAAAACAUCUUUUUAUAAUUGUGAGACUUCAGAUAUUGUCAUAGGACCUGUCGUGGAUUGCUGUAAAUGUAAUUGUGCUGUGGUGUUUGUGCCAAAAGUGGUUACAUUGAUGACAUUAUUAGAGAGAGAGAGAGAGAGGGGUAAGUAAAGUCGGUCGAGCGGGGAGGGGAGUGUCUUCGGGAGACGGGAUGAGAAGGAAGAUCUGUUAGCUGUUAGAUUCUUCCUACCCCAGCUCUGGUCUGACACUUCACAUCAUUUCACAGAGAAACCGAAGGACGUCCUAUACUAAAUCAGGUUGGCAACGAUGAUGGAUUUUUUUCAGAUUGAUGAGAAACCUCUACACGUCCUUGCCUCCGGUCCCCCACAGCCAAUUUAACAGACAGAGAAGUAGAUCUUCAUCAUAAAGCCGUGACAGUCGAGCGGGCGAGGUAAAAAGAGAAAGCGAAGGUGAACGGAGCAAACAAGGACAUCGGGUACUUUGAUGGUCGUCCGUAACGCCGCAGGAUAAUUAUUGGAAGAAUUUGCAGAAGAAUCAUUUGUCCCUCGUGUUAGUGAAGACAUCAGAAGAAAUAAUGAAGACAAUGUCGCCCGGCUCUAGUAGGUUUCUUGUUGGGUUGAUAGGGUGUCUACUGAUUCUAAUGGGUCCCCUAGUGGUGCGAGGACAAAACGACACGGAGCCCAUAGUGCUGGAGGGCAAAUGUCUGG